rnacentral:lncRNA from 1 species
UUCAGCUGUUUCAGGGUUUGGAGUUUGUUUAGGGAUGGUGGUGGUUGGCAGCAUGACUUCUAGAGGGGUGGUAUUCAGUUCAGGUGUUGCUGAAGUCGUCUUUAGAGGAGAUGGUGUAGUUUUUGGUUUUCUUGUUUUUGGUGUCUUUGGCUUUUUGGUAGAGGUGGGCUUCUUGGGUGCUUUGGUUGGCUUUUUGGUAGGCUUGGGUGCUUUGGUUGGCUUCUGUGGUUUUAGAGUUGUUUUAGAAUCAUCAGAAUCUUCUGAUGCAGGAGUUGUUUCUUCAGGUUUGUUCUGAAUCUCUUCUGCUGGAGCAGUUACUUUGGGUGCAAGAGUUGUUGCUUUCAGAGUAGUGGUUUUGGGUGAUGUGGUGGUGGGUUCAGGCUUCUUGGGAGUUGUGGGUUCAGGCUCCUUGGGGGUUGUAGGUUCAGGCUCCUUGGGAGUUGUAGGUUCAGGCUCCUUGCGAGUUGUGGGUUCAGGCUCCUUGGGCGUGGUGGGUUCAGGCUCCUUGGGGGUGGUGGGUUCAGGCUCCUUGGGGGUUGUAGGUUCAGGCUCCUUGGGAGUUGUGGGUUCAGGCUCCUUGGGGGUUGUAGGUUCAGGCUCCUUGGGAGUUGUGGGUUCAGGCUCCUUGGGAGUGGUGGGUUCAGGCUCCUUGCGGGUGGUGGAUUCAGGCUCCUUGGUGGUGGUGGGUUCAGGCUCCUUGGUGGUGGUGGGUUCAGGCUCCUUGGGAGUUGUGGGUUCAGGCUCCUUGGGGGUGGUGGGUUCAGGCUUCUUGGUGGUUGGAGGUGGUUCCUUGGGAGUUGUGGGUUCAGGCUCCUUGGGAGUGGUGGGUUCAGGCUCCUUGGGGGUGGUGGGUUCAGGCUCCUUGGGAGUUGUGGGUUCAGGCUCCUUGGGGGUGGUGGGUUCAGGCUUCUUGGUGGUUGGAGGUGGUUCCUUGGGAGUUGUGGGUUCAGGCUCCUUGGGAGUGGUAGGAACUGGUUCCUUGGUUGUAGUAACAGGCUUCUUGGUAGUAGUGGGAGCUGAGUUCUUGGGAGUUGUAGAUGUGGGCUCAACAUCUUUAUCAGAUGUUUUCUCUGCACUCCGUGUCUCUUUAGCUGAAGUCGUCUUUUUUUUACUGGCAGAAGAUUGUUUAUUUGUUGCAGUAGUCUCUUUCGUUUCAACUGUUGUCUCUUUAUUGGAUGCUAAAGAUGCCUCUUUGGAUGUCUCAGAAUUAGGUGCAAGACUGGGUUUAGGAGUUACUGGUUUUGCUGCUGUAGUCUUGGGAGAUGUGGUGACUUUGCUGUGUGGAGUAGUAGGAGGGUCAGGAGGAGGUGGGGUGAGCUUGAACUCACCAUUAUCCAGCCCGCUUCCAGCUUCAUCCACAGCCGGCGGUUCUGGAUUGGGU